rnacentral:rRNA from 1 species
GUGGGGAAUAUUGCACAAUGGGCGCAAGCCUGAUGCAGCCAUGCCGCGUGUAUGAAGAAGGCCUUCGGGUUGUAAAGUACUUUCAGCGGGGAGGAAGGGAGUAAAGUUAAUACCUUUACUCAUUGACGUUACCCGCAGAAGAAGCACCGGCUAACUCCGUGCCAGCAGCCGCGGUAAUACGGAGGGUGCAAGCGUUAAUCGGAAUUACUGGGCGUAAAGCGCACGCAGGCGGUUUGUUAAGUCAGAUGUGAAAUCCCCGGGCUCAACCUGGGAACUGCAUCUGAUACUGGCAAGCUUGAGUCUCGUAGAGGGGGGUAGAAUUCCAGGUGUAGCGGUGAAAUGCGUAGAGAUCUGGAGGAAUACCGGUGGCGAAGGCGGCCCCCUGGACGAAGACUGACGCUCAGGUGCGAAAGCGUGGGGAGCAAAC